GGACCCAGGCCAAUGACCUCAACUUCCAGCUGUACCUGCUGGAUGGGCUCACCAGGUGGAACCAGGACCGGGCUGCUGCUGCUGUGACUGAGAGUAGAUCAGCCCUCCUCAGCUACUCGGGGGACCUGGUGCAGUGUGUCAACACACACGGCUCCAAGGUGUUUGGACGGAAGUAUGUCCCCUCCUUCCGCCCCCCCGCCAAGUACACUGGAGAGUUGAUAGGCAUCGACUACCUGUACAAGCAGACGGGGAAGUGCAUGCAAGACAUGGAUCCUGAGGGGGAGGAGACGGAGCAGCUGCUGGAGGACCUGGGCGACGAGGCAGAGGAUGAGGGCUUCACAGACGACACCGAGGCUAGUCUGGAGGUCUUCUCUGCCCUCAUUUCGUUACCACCUGCUCAGCCCUCCACCAGUGGUUCCUGGUCCGCUGCUCCACCUCCUCCUUCUCCUCCA
ensembl:lncRNA